ACACCACUACCUAACUCCAGAGUGCAGACAAAGCCAGCUCCAUUCACUGAUGAAGGAAACGCAGAUGGGCAAGAAGACAUUGUCUAUAUAGAAUGGGGGUUAAAGAGGAGCCACUUUGAAGAUGGUUUUACAUGGAAUCGAAAGUUAAAAGAACACAGCAAUACUUCACUGAAUCUUCCAGCUGCAAGGCUGAAAUGAUGAGGCUGAUGGACUUGACUGAUUUCUGGAAGGAGACAGAAUACCCACUGCUCUUCUCAUUCUGAUGAAAAGAAGAAAACUAACGAACCAGGAAAAUCAUCUCUCUGCUGAGAAGCUGCUUGUACCAAUAAAGAUGGUAUAUGAAACCCAUUUGAAAGAUAUCUGAAGAAGCAAAGGCCAACUACAGCUUUAAGACUCUUGGAAGUUUUAUGGUUGG